UGAUUAAAGACAUGGAUAUCUAUAGGUUAGUUAUGUAUAUGCAACAAGUGGUAGAAGAGAAAAAAAUAGGUUGAUUUUAGUGAAAGGUAAGGGAAGAAAUUUAGACCUUCUGAGCAAAGUGGUAGAGAUGGUGGAAAGUGGCCAAGAAAAAAGUGGAAGAGUUUGGGUUCUUUCUUCUUAGCUAGUGCUCCUUACCCAAAAUUAUCGGGAGAUCAUCGAUCUUAGUUUAGUGGUA
rnacentral:lncRNA from 1 species